GACGUAGGGCGCGAGCGUUGUCCGGAUUUAUUGGGCGUAAAGAGCUCGUAGGCGGCUUGUCGCGUCGACCGUGAAAACUUGGGGCUCAACCCCAAGCCUGCGGUCGAUACGGGCAGGCUCGAGUUCGGUAGGGGAGACUGGAAUUCCUGGUGUAGCGGUGAAAUGCGUAGAUAUCUGGAGGAACACCGGUGGCGAAGGCGGCAUCCUGGACCGACACUGACGCUGAGGCGCGAAAGCUAGGGUAGCAAACGGG
rnacentral:rRNA from 1 species